CUCCUUGCCAACUUGGAAUAAUGACAAAUGGCUCCAUCCAUCCGGACGUUCAUGUAUGAAGCCACAGGGAUGAUGUGCAGCAGAAACACAAUGCAGAAAUCAACCCUCAGAAUGCAAUCAAUGUUUGGGAAGAUCUCACAGGAGCCUUUGGGGCUGCUUUUGAGUUCCACCUCUGGGAAGAGCACCUGGAUCCUUCAAAAGAAUGAGGCUGAUUUCUUGCAGCCCUAUCGAACCGACACAAAGAACGUGGUAGAAAGGAACCUGUGGCCUCCUGCUCACCUGGCCAAUGCCACUGAUGUGGGCUGGGCUGUGUGCCCUGCUGGGUCCUGCGCCUCUGUCCCUAGACAUGCAGGUUUGGUUCGUUCCAGGAGGAGUUUGUCAGAACUGAAGACACCCAGCUCCACAUGUGCUUUUCCUGCAGCAGAUGGGAGCCGGGAGCAUCUCCAGGUGAGUUUGCUGUCUCCUUGCUCACUCCUCAAGCUUUCUCAGGCCCCAGUACAGCUCUGUUCAUGCGGCUCCAUCAGCACGGACAGACCCAGCCGUCUUCUUCUCUUGUUGAGCUCACAGUACACUGCCUGCCCUGGACACCAACCGUUCCCGAGGGGCUGAGCAGGACCUGGACUACUGUGGACUCCUUUUCUUCCUGCCAUCACUUGAGCCCCACUUUCAGCUCACAGAAUGUGCCAGCACCCAUGGCUGUGAGCUGCAGACCCCUGGGGCGAGCAGUGUGCACCUCCUUGCAGGACACAAACCUGCAGCCCUGGGGACAUCCAGCAUCGUAAUUCCCGAGGUCUCACUUCUAUACUGGGAUUUGGGACAAAGAUGCCCAACGACAAAACAAUGCCAUCCUCUCCUAUGAGACCAGGAGGGGACUUUUAAACCCCGAUGACCACAGUUUCCUUCUGGCACAACUCUGGAACAAACAGCCGCAGCACAGCCCCAACCAUCUGAGCUCCGGCGCUUCCUACGCUGAGCGUGCACCGACGCUGACUUUCCUUUGCAGCGGAGCACCGCGCACGGCGCGCGCAGCCCCAUCUCCAUGCGGUGCCCCCAACCUUCAGAGCCGCCGCUGUAGGGUCGUGCCCCGGCCCUCGGCACCGCGGUGCCCCAUGUGCCCACCUUCAAUGGCAGGCGGAGGAAUCGCUUCGCCUUGAUCAGGAGGGAGAAGAAUAACGAGCGGCAGGCGGUGGCCGGUGGGGUGCGGAUGAAAGGCGGCCGGCUCAAUUCUUCCCACACCCAGGGCGAUCUGCCCCCGCUUUUUUCCUGCCAUAAUUGCCUGCCACGCCGCAGAUGACUGUCGCACUCCACCAAAGCCCGGAGCACGGCGAGGCCAGGACUCGGGGCUCUCUGUCAAUGAGCGGGGAGGCAGGGAGGAUGCUUUGAUCCCGCUCUUCUUCCUCUGCCGCGCUCAAGAAUUACUACCAGGCUGCUGUUAGCGUUGCUUCGGCUCCAGCUUCCACUUGCUCUGUGCGGGAUCAACUGAGGCUCUGCCAUUCUGAGAGGUCCCGGGGCAGCGCAGCACCUGGGGCUGGUGAUGCACCAUUGAAUCACGGAACCAUGCAGCAUCCUGAGUUGGAUGGGAUCCAUAGGGAUCACUGAGUGCAACUCC
ensembl:lncRNA